AUGUCCACUUGUCAGCAAGUAUUCUCCCAGCUGCUUCUGCUGACCUCUGAGUAUGAAAACAGUUUCAGGCAGCAGACACUCUGGAUGCCUCUCCUCGGGUUUAAAGGCUUCAGUAAUGGCCUUUGUGUUAAUUCCAUGCACAGCCACUCCUUCACAAAUCAUGUACCUCUAAAAAAGGACCCUGAUAAAGAGCACCUCCCUCCACCUUGUAAUCUGAAAGGUCUGCAUACCUAG
rnacentral:lncRNA from 1 species